UAAACGCCACCGCUGUCUAGUAUCCAGUGAGAAAGUGAGAAGUGCAUUGUUGAGGCUGUUUUUGUCUCGGCGUGUGCCUGUUGCAACUCCAUGUGAUCUGCUUAAGCUAAACUCGCUCACUGGCCAGAUGGACCAAACAUGAAAGAGAUUAACUCAUAUUUGUGAUUCCUCCCUCCAUUUUUGUGCUCCUCCAUCUCACUCUGUCUCAUGUCCACACAGCAGCAUGAAGAGGACAAACCAUGAAUACUAAUCAAGAGAAUUACCAUCAAAAACAGAGAGCACAAACGUCACCUCUCCUGGAACUGUUUAGAGGGAACGAGUCCGGCCCGCAGGUUGCUGUCCCCCACACGUUUGGCCUGCCACCACGUCUGGUCAUCCUGAGUCACCACCUGCAGGAUGUCUCCUCGCUUGAAGGAAAGUCCCGCCUCUUGGCAGGGUGUGGCCUUGUCCUCUAAUGGGAUGUAGUCAAAUAAGGCUCUCACAUACACCUGGAGGUAAAUGUAGAGAGUUUGGAAGGAUUUAAAUAAAACAGAGAGAACCAUGGGUAUAUGUUAUUAUUGUAAGACUCUGGAAUGACUCUCAAAAAAAGCAGAAAAAACAUGACCGGCACUGCUGUUUCCCACCUUGCUCUCCCUCAGUCGGUCCUCUUCUUUAAUGGCAGGGAUUAUCUUUAGAGUGAUGGAGCCCUGGGACUGGGACUAUAUCACAAAUAGACAAAGGGGAGGGAGGAUUGUGACUGCAGCCUUAAUUAAAAACACUAAUAAAAGACCAGAUAUCUUUGGCUUAAAGGCACACCAUGGUGGCUAAUAGGAUACUUAAGAAAGGAUUUACCCCUAUCAUCAUCCUUUAAGAAAAUUACAUUUCCUGAAAGUGCCUUGAGUCGUGUUACAGGCUGCGCUGUUUAAUGCUGAACAUUUCAGUAUUAAAACACCACAGUAGAUGCAAGAGAUCAUGUGGAAUGCACAAAUACAACAUUUAUAUAUUUGUCACAUCUUUGUGAAACCAGUGGAAACCAGAUUAUAAGUGCCGAUAUGACGCAUUUUUGGAAAUGAGCUUAUUGAAUCAGACAAGGUUUUUUGGUGCAGAACAAACACAGUAAAAAGAAAACAAUACAGAAUAAAAGGACUAAGGAUCAAUAGAGAUUACGGCAGAUUCCUUUAAGUGAAUCAAGUUAUUUUACAUGUAGCAUGGCACAACACUGUAAAAUUAAAGCUUAAAUAUAUAAAAUAAUAGAAUAUACAAAUAACACUGCUCAUAUAUAUCAACAACUGUCUUCUAGCCUAGUUCAAAUACAAUUAUUCUUCAAAAUGCUGAACAGUAAAUAUAUUUCAUAUUGUCCUAAAAACAGACAAACUGUACUAUUUCAGCUGUGGUUUUCUUUUUUGGCACAUUCCUCUUCAGAGGUUGAAAACAGUGCAUAACCCCAUCACAUGUUGAAUUUUAGUAAAAUAGAGCUAUACUUGUUUUUCUUUCCCCAACAUUAAAUCAUAUUAGAAUUUAGAUCUCUGCCAUCCAAGCUCCCCUCAAGUACAUCUUACAGUAUUUUGCCUCAGUUUAAUGAACAGUACAUAAAUGUAAAUAAAUAUGCACAUAAUUCUGUAACAAACAUCUGGUCUUACCAGUAGCUGACUGAUCUCGUCAGGUCUUUUGUGGAUCACAGAAACUCCGUUGACCUCCCUGAGUUCAUCUCCAACAUGAACCAGACCUGUGAGGAUGUAACAGUAUGAUGACAGACUGAGCAGACAGAAACAUCAGUGACAAUCACGAUGAGCUUUGCAGAUCUUCCACGGCUCAUCAGUUCUAUCUUAACAUGACUACUCUUGUCAGAUCCACUGAUGCACGCUGCUGCCUCCGUCCUCAGCUGUGAUCCCUUUUGUGCUGCAGCCACAACAAUGAAACUAAAGCCUGAGAGGAGCAAGAUCAAUAGUGUUCUCCCUCAGGAGGACGGAGAAGCACAUAUCAGACACAACAUAAUGUAUGCAUUGAUACAAGAGGCUCAGCUCUGUACAAACCUCGUCUCCACACUAACUUUUCCAUCACUUGACACAGCAAAAGAAACUGAGGGAGAUAAUGAAUGAUUAAUGGAAACUGACACUGAUUGUUUUUGACUUUCCCAGCACACAUAAUACACAAACACGUUAUUACACAUGAACAGAGUUUACAGUGUGUAGAAGUUUAGGUUAGCAGCAGCAGCCACAAUACUCCUCUCUGAUCUCACUUUAGAGUAUCAGGUUUUGAUUUGUUACCUCAUUCAUAUCUACACAUUUAUCGUGAAGAAGUUUCCCUCAUUUUCACUGGCUGCAGAACAACAAAUACCAUCAGUCUGCUGCACAAGUCAUCAGCCUCUCAGGGCAUCAUGGUGGUUCAGUUUACAUGAUGACUAUUGUCCAUCAUAUCCAUGAACAUUCUUCCAGAUCUAACGGUUCUAUCACACCUAUUUUGUUGUCCCAGCACUGGCUCCCUGUGCACGACAGGAUUGAUUUUAAAAUUAUUUUAUUUGCCUGUAAAUGCCUUCAUAAUCUUGCUCCUCCCUGUCUUUGUGAUCUGCUCCAGCCUUAUGUAUCCUCACGGUCCUCUUAGUUGUCCCAAAAACAAAGCUGCAGCUUAGAGGAGACCAAGGUUUCUCUGUUCCAGCUGCUAAAUUGUGGAAAGAGCAUUUAUUUUCUUUGGCUUUUAACACAGAGUGAGUUCUGUUGUAUGUGUGUGAAUGAGCUUGGUUUUAUUCUGAACAUGUCUUUAUGUGUAACUUAUAUAUUGUUACAUACAUUUUUUUUAGUCCUCUAAUUGUUGGUUUUACUGCACUUUGGUCCAACUUGUGGUUUUGAAAUGUGCUUUAUAAAUAAAAAUUGGAUUGAUUGGAUAUUAAUCUUCCUUUAACAUUGCCAAUCAUUUUCAAACUGUUCAACAAAGGUGAAAUCCCACAACCUAUACAAAGGGAAAUCUGUGACCCAUCAUCACAGGGUGCAUAUCACAGCAUCUGUGAUCCCUGGGUGAAUGUUGUGAACCCAAACUGUCAUAACCCAUGAAACACAAGCCAUACAAAACGGCAGUUAGCAGUUUAAACACAGCAAAAGUAAAAGUCACACAGCUGAAGCCAAGAGUCUGAACCAGUUGUGUGUCAGUAGCUGCUGUGACGAUACGAGGAUCCAAAAAUACUCUAUAUCUCUGCAAGACCAAAACACAUGUGAAGUAGCACAACAAAAGCCAAAGUGUCCCACUGCUGGAAUGAGGUGAUAACGUCAUGUUGUUUGGAGUCAACAGUUAACACUAAUUACACAUGGUGAAGUUUUCACAAGACUGAUUCCGACUGAAGAAAGAGGAAAAAACUAAAAAAAUGUACAUGUGUUGAUUUGUCGCUUAUUUAGGACAUUUUUCAAUGAGUGACUCAUUCCUCAAAAAUGAAAGGGAAAGCACUCUUUUCAGCAUCAAUCUUCUCAUGCACUUGAAAGAAAAUGGUUAAUUCAGCAGAAUAACACUGUACAGCAUAAUAAAAGGUGAGCUCUCAUGUCAAUGUUUCUGAAUAGUUAAUGAAAAGUAAUUUGAAAAAGUUUAGUAAAUGGAAAAGUGCGUUCUCGUUUUCUCGCAAUUGAUGCUGGUAACUGUUGAGUAAAGACAUGACAAAACUUGUGUAGAAAGUACUAGGACAGACAGAGGUAAAAAAGGUAAAAAAUAAAAUGUACCACUUCGAUCAGCUGCACCUCCUCUCAUGAUCCGAGCAACGAUUACCGCCCCUGUGGCUUCAUCUCGCCUGAUGGUGGCUCCCUGGAGUUCAGACACAUUCAUAGAAUCAUAAACUGAAAAAAUGUAAAAUGUCCCUCCCUCUUCUCCUGUAGACUUUUAUGUUCAUACUUCCACUUGUGUUGUUACUGUAACAACUCACCAGAGGCUCCUUGUUCUUCACCAGCCUCACAAUCUUCACAGACUCCUCCUCGAUCUCGUCCUCAAAGUCGUCUGGCAGUGGAGGCAGCACAGGGUCAAAAUUCUUCUGAGCCACAGUGUCGUGCACCGAUAGAACUGCCUGAUGGGACAGGGAAGCAACGUGCUGAUGAGAACAAUCCUGAUAUUCAUUUCACGUUCGAAUCAUCAAUUGAACGAUGAACAAACAGUUCACAACCACGGAAAUUGACGGACUUAACUCAUCACUGGUGUCCCAAUCUCCACAACAAUUUUAACUUGACAACUUUCAACUAAGUGUUUUGUAGCUUUUACCUUAAGAUGUGGUGAUGUCAGCAGAUGCAGCAGCUCCUUCUCGUCAGAGCUCAUUGGUCCACUCUGCAGCUCCUCUGUAACCUGACAACACACAAACAAACACGAUAAGUCCUUAUCUGACGUGAACCCCUGCAUAUGUAUACCAGUAAUUCAUGCUAGAAUAAAUGUAUCCAGAUGCAAACAUGCACGCAGGCAAAGAUAAGUAGGAAGCAGCUCUGGUCAGCAGUUUCCCCACUGAUAACUGGUGGGAGCAGCAGGAUAUGGAGUUUCAUAAAAUGAGCAUCAGGAUGAUUCAGCACUUUGAGGACAUUAAAAUUCACUUUUCAUACCCACGCUU